rnacentral:rRNA from 1 species
CCGGCACGGUGGAGUAACACGUAUGCAAUCCACCUGUAACAGGGGAGUAACCGGAGAAAUCCGGACUAAUACCCAUAAUAUGGGCGCUCCGCAUGGAGAGCCCAUUAAAGAGAGCAAUUUUGGUUACAGACGAGCAUGCGCUCCAUUAGCCAGUUGGCGGGGUAACGGCCCACCAAAGCGACGAUGGAUAGGGGUUCUGAGAGGAAGGUCCCCCACAUUGGAACUGAGACACGGUCCAA